rnacentral:rRNA from 1 species
AGUGAACGCUGGCGGUAGGCCUAACACAUGCAAGUCGAACGGCAGCACAGUAAGAGCUUGCUCUUACGGGUGGCGAGUGGCGGACGGGUGAGGAAUACAUCGGAAUCUACUUUUUCGUGGGGGAUAACGUAGGGAAACUUACGCUAAUACCGUAUACGACCUACGGGUGAAAGCAGUGGAUCUUCGGACCUUUCGCGAUUGAAUGAGCCGAUGUCGGAUUAGCUAGUUGGCGGGGUAAAGGCCCACCAAGGCGACGAUCCGUAGCUGGUCUGAGAGGAUGAUCAGCCACACUGGAACUGAGACACGGUCCAGACUCCUACGGGAGGCAGCAGUGGGGAAUAUUGGACAAUGGGCGAAAGCCUGAUCCAGCCAUACCGCGUGAGUGAAGAAGGCCUUCGGGUUGUAAAGCCCUUUUGUUGGGAAAGAAAAGCAGCAGGUUAAUACCCCGCUGUUCUGACGGUACCCAAAGAAUAAGCACCGGCUAACUUCGUG